GGGGUUGUGGCUCAGCGGUAGAGCACUCAGCUAGCACCUGCCAGGCUUUGGGUUCAAUCCUCAGCACCACA
rnacentral:tRNA from 1 species